CAAGUUGGCGGCGUUGCCUAAUACAUGCAAGUCGAGCGGACAGAUGGGAGCUUGCUCCCUGAUGUUAGCGGCGGACGGGUGAGUAACACGUGGGUAACCUGCCUGUAAGACUGGGAUAACUCCGGGAAACCGGGGCUAAUACCGGAUGGUUGUUUGAACCGCAUGGUUCAAACAUAAAAGGUGGCUUCGGCUACCACUUACAGAUGGACCCGCGGCGCAUUAGCUAGUUGGUGAGGUAACGGCUCACCAAGGCAACGAUGCGUAGCCGACCUGAGAGGGUGAUCGGCCACACUGGGACUGAGACACGGCCCAGACUCCUACGGGAGGCAGCAGUAGGGAAUCUUCCGCAAUGGACGAAAGUCUGACGGAGCAACGCCGCGUGAGUGAUGAAGGUUUUCGGAUCGUAAAGCUCUGUUGUUAGGGAAGAACAAGUACCGUUCGAAUAGGGCGGUACCUUGACGGUACCUAACCAGAAAGCCACGGCUAACUACGUGCCAGCAGCCGCGGUAAUACGUAGGUGGCAAGCGUUGUCCGGAAUUAUUGGGCGUAAAGGGCUCGCAGGCGGUUUCUUAAGUCUGAUGUGAAAGCCCCCGGCUCAACCGGGGAGGGUCAUUGGAAACUGGGGAACUUGAGUGCAGAAGAGGAGAGUGGAAUUCCACGUGUAGCGGUGAAAUGCGUAGAGAUGUGGAGGAACACCAGUGGCGAAGGCGACUCUCUGGUCUGUAACUGACGCUGAGGAGCGAAAGCGUGGGGAGCGAACAGGAUUAGAUACCCUGGUAGUCCACGCCGUAAACGAUGAG
rnacentral:rRNA from 1 species